rnacentral:rRNA from 1 species
AACGAACGCGGCGGCAUGCCUAACACAUGCAAGUCGAACGCUAUCUUUGAUAGAGUGGCGCACGGGUGAGUAACGCGUGGGAACCUGCCUUUCACUGCGGGACAACGGUUGGAAACGACCGCUAAUACCGCAUACGCCCUAAGGGGGAAAGAUUUAUCGGUGAAAGAGGGGCCCGCGUCUGAUUAGCUUGUUGGUAGGGUAAUGGCCUACCAAGGCGACGAUCGGUAGCUGGUCUGAGAGGAUGAUCAGCCACACUGGGACUGAGACACGGCCCAGACUCCUACGGGAGGCAGCAGUGGGGAAUAUUGGACAAUGGGGGCAACCCUGAUCCAGCAAUGCCGCGUGUGUGAUGAAGGCCUUAGGGUUGUAAAGCACUUUCACUGGUGAAGAUGAUGACGGUAACCAGAGAAGAAGCCCCGGCUAACUUCGUGCCAGCAGCCGCGGUAAUACGAAGGGGGCGAGCGUUGUUCGGAAUUACUGGGCGUAAAGGGCGCGUAGGCGGUCUUUUAAGUUAGGCGUGAAAGCCCCGGGCUCAACCUGGGAACUGCGCUUAAAACUGGAAGACUAGAAAACGGAAGAGGGUAGUGGAAUUCCCAGUGUAGAGGUGAAAUUCGUAGAUAUUGGGAAGAACACCAGUGGCGAAAGCGGCUCACCUGGUCCGAUACUGA